rnacentral:lncRNA from 1 species
CAUAGCUCUUAUCCUGUGAAUCUUUGGGUUUAUCAUGGUCGAAGUAUUAAUUUUAAAUAAUUAUUUGCAAUGACAAAAACAUAAUGUAUUGGAGCACCAAAAGAAAGACAAAAUAGAGAGUUUACUUGAAAUUAUUUUUAGCAUAUUUUACCUAAAGAUCUUAUUUUUCCAUAGAUAAAACAAAUGGACAUCUUAUUGUGAUAUCUAUAUUCUACUCGUACCACAUUAAACGGGAGUAUUUUAUGAUCAAGUGAUAAAGCAACUGUUGAAAAGCAGGGUACGGUUUGACACCAAUUCUAUGCAGCACAUUGUAUUUGAGUUAUGUUUUACAUAUGCAGUACUAGUAUAUCAUUUGCUCCAAAAAUAAAUGCUGCGUUUAUGCUGAUUAACAUGCUGAUAGAACAUGUAGAAUGUAAUGAAAACGUUCUAAAAAGUCAAUAUUGAAAAGAAGCAACAUUGAUAAACUGGACCCAAAUAAUUUUUAUAACAUCUUUGCACUAAAUCUGCUGCAUGUGUAAUUAUUGAUACUUAUUCAUAUUAAUAACACCAUAUAUUCUAUCAUCCUUUUAAAGAGAAACGUUGAAAUUUAAACUUUUACUCUGUGAAAACUUACUGAUUUAAUUAAAAUUAUGUUUUUGUUAAAUAGCAAAGUGACACAUUUUCAAAUAAUCUCUUGUUAACAUGUUAAAAAAAUUCGGGGAUAACGUUAUUUCGAAAUUGUAAACAUGCAUUGCAAAUUUUAACUGUUUAAAAAUACAAUAGAAUUGAUGCUGUUUUUCUUAAAAUUCAGCUUGUAUCACGUGGUAUAAUUUUAAAUUAAUAUUAUGCAUUUACCUCGACAAUUGGAUGUAAAAACAAUAAUUUUCAAGAAAAAACUUUU